UGUUUGGUAAACAGUAUGCAA
rnacentral:siRNA from 1 species